rnacentral:lncRNA from 1 species
UGAAUUUGUGUUUCUGGUUGGUCCUAUUACUCCCAUAUUCGUAUGCAUCUUUCUUGUAUAUUUGCUUAUAGGGAGGAGGAACUUGAGGUCUUUUCGCCUUAGGAAAAAAAUCCUUGCUGAUGUAAAUAGAAUCAACAAACUCAAAAACUGAACAUCUUUAUAGUGGACAUUUGACAAAUGUUGACAUAUGUAUACACUGUGAAACCAUGACCAACAUGAGGAUAAUAACCCCUUCCCAUAAUCAGGCACUUUUCUGCUUUCUGUAAUUAUAGAUUAACUUCCACUUAGGAAGUUAAUAUACAACAUAUGGUGUUGUAUGACAUGCAGUUUUACCUUUUAUAAUACAUUUUGGACUACUUUGGGGGGAUUAAUGUUCAUAAUUGUUUUGAGAUUCAUCUAUUUAUUAAGUGUAUCAAUAGUUCAUUUUAUUCUUGAGUGUAUCCCAGUGUAAAGAUAUGGCAAUUUAUCCAUCCGUAUAUCUGCUAGUGGACAUUUAGGUUGUUGGUAGUUGGGGCAAUUACAAAUGAUGCUACUAUGAACAUUUGAGUAUAGAUCUUUGUAUGGGCACCCAUUUUUAUUUUUUUGUGGGAAAAUACCUACCCAUGUAAUGUCUAGAUAUGUGGUAAAUAGAUAUUUAACAUUUAAGAAGUUGCUAAAUUGUUUUCCAAAAUGGUUGUGCCAUUUGAUGUUCUCACCAGUUCUGAAUGGGAGUUUCAGUUACUCCACAUUGUUGUCAAAACUUGAUAUGGUCAGUUUUUGAAAUCUUAGCCACUUUCAUGUGUGGAAGUAUCUCACUGUUGUUUAGUUUGAAUUUCCUUACUGACUAAUGACCUGGGACAUCUUUUCAAUUGUUUAUUUGACACUUGUAUCUUUUUUGGUCAAGCAUCUGUUCAAAUAUUUUAUUAUAUAUCAGACAUAUGAUUCACAAAUAUUUUCUCUAAAUCUAUGACAUCUUUUUAUUCUCCUCACAGUAUCUCUCAUACGGCAGAUGUUUUAAUUUUUAAUUGUCUACUUCAUCAAAUUUUUUUCUUUUGUGGAUCCUACUCUUGAUAUCUUAUCUAAGACAUCUUUGCCUAAUUCAGGGUCACCAAUAUUUUCCAUAUUAUCUUCUAGAGUUUUAUAGGUUUAGGUUUUCCAUUAAUUAUAAAAUUUGUUUUUGUUUUGGAUUAAAGUUUUUGUUUUUUUGCAAGCGGUAGCUCCAUACUUCAUGCCAUGUAUUGAAAAGAGUAUCUUUCUCUAGUAAAUUACCUUUGCACACUUGUCACUAAUCAGUUGUCCAUGUAUGGGAGGGUCUAUUUCUGGAUAUAUAUCCUAGCUUUUGUAUCUGUUUACUUGUCUGUAUACCAGUGCCACAUAUGUCCUUUAUAAUAAAUUUUGAAAUAGGGUGAUAUUUCACGUCUAG